rnacentral:rRNA from 1 species
UGGGGAAUAUUGGACAAUGGGCGCAAGCCUGAUCCAGCCAUGCCGCGUGAGUGAUGAAGGCCCUAGGGUUGUAAAGCUCUUUCACCGGUGAAGAUAAUGACGGUAACCGGAGAAGAAGCCCCGGCUAACUUCGUGCCAGCAGCCGCGGUAAUACGAAGGGGGCUAGCGUUGUUCGGAUUUACUGGGCGUAAAGCGGACGUAGGCGGACUAUUAAGUCAGGGGUGAAAUCCCGGGGCUCAACCCCGGAACUGCCUUUGAUACUGGUAGUCUUGAGUUCGAGAGAGGUGAGUGGAAUUCCGAGUGUAGAGGUGAAAUUCGUAGAUAUUCGGAGGAACACCAGUGGCGAAGGCGGCUCACUGGCUCGAUACUGACGCUGAGGUGCGAAAGCGUGGGGAGCAAACAGG